rnacentral:lncRNA from 1 species
AAAGGUGAUACUAACAUAUAAAUAUAUAUGUCUGUGCGUAUUCUGUUAUAAAAAUAAGAACAUUUUUUAUGAUUGCCAAUGUGACAACUCUCAACCAGAGACCAAAUAUCAUAAAGGUUAACAGCUAGUGUUCACCAUUUGACUUUUGCUAAUGAGCAAACUUAGUUAACUUCUACAAAAAUAGUUAUUUGAUAAUUGUAGCCCAAAUGUCUUUAUGGUAUGCUUUAAGUAGUGUAGAGGUUUACAAUCAUUAAGUGAGAGAUCUUUCAUUAUAAAAAGUUUACCUAUUAAGAAUGAUAUAAUUGGUGCUUUAGUUGCAAUGGAGAUUAAUACUGUAGGGUCUUCAUUUCCUCUAUUUAUACAAAUUAUCACAUUGAAAACAAAAUUUGAACAUGUAUUUUAUUUUUUAAAGUGAUAUUGGUGUGUAAAGUAUGACUGUAUUUGUUAGAUUUGUUUUCCUGUUAUAUGCUGUAUACUCUUCAGCUGUGUUCCUAAAUGCACCCAUGUAGCCUUAUCAACAUCAGCAAAGAUGGACCAAUCAUAGGUAUUGUCUCAUUCUUGCAAUGAGGGGUGAUAUGUUUCUCCAAGUUGAAAUCCCUGCUAUAAAUGAGAGAUGGAAAAUAUGUGAGUUUUGUCAAGUGUAUGAAUUUUGUUUCAAAAUGUUAUACACCAAAUCAUGUCUUUUCUAAUAGAUAAUUGAUUGAUAAGACUUGAAAUCCUCUUUUUUGGUUCUCUUUGAAAAUAUUAUUGAUUACUUUUUCACACUAAAUGUAUAUGUUCUCUUAAUUUCAAAGGGAUCAUGGCAAAUCUAAUUUUCUUGAAAAUGAUAGAUAUAGCAUUUGAUAGUGAAACAAUAAUAAAGGAAAAUAUUAAUAAAUAUUGCUCGAAUUUACUUGAAAUCUAAAGAUCUAGUCAUUAGACUAGUUAUUUCUAUGUUCUAGAUAUUAUAAAUCCUUAAAAUAUUUCUCUAUUGUUGUCCUGCAGUAUUUUCUCAUUUUGUUGAUAUAUUAUGUUGUUAUCUAUUUUCAUACAAUUUUGUCAUUGUUAUUUCAUACAGUUUAUCAUUAAAUAUAAAACAAUAUUGUGUUGUUUAUGACUUUACACUCAAUGCAGUGUACAAUUUUAUUGAGUUUGCCUAUUAAGAGUUCACAAUUUUUAGUUUUUUUCAGAGUUGAACAUCUAUCUGCCUGGCAGUCAAAGGGGUUCUAUCAGCAAUAUCUCCAAAACAUUGACAAUCAAACUUAUAUGUUAGGGAAACAGGCAUUUUGAAAAAAAAUAUGUAAGAAAAAUUGCCUUCGAGCUAUCUCUCCCCUUUCAGUACCUUCUAAGCCCUUUUAUUUUAAAAAUUGUGUUUUCAAAAUUCAUAAAUCGAUUGUGGGUUACAUACUUAAACCUAGGGAAACACAUCAACUACAAGAGCAAAACAAGGAAACAACAGAAACACUAAAGUACAACAAAAAAUGACAAUGCAACCUACAUAAAAACUAACUAUUAGAUAACAACUGUCAUAUUCCUUACUUGGUACAGGACAUUUUAAGAAUGACCUAUAGAUACCAGGAUUGAAAUUUUAUAUAUAUGCCAGACGCACGUUUCGUCUUCAAAAGACUCAUCAGUGACGCUCGAAUCCAAAAACGUUUUAAAAGCCAAAUAAAGUAUGAAGUACGAAGUUGAAGAGCAUUGAACACCAAAGUUCCUAAAACUUUUGCCAAAUACAGCUUAAAAAUGGUGGGUGGAACCUUGUUUUGUGGCUAGCCAAACCUCGUGCUUUAUGGCUAUGUCCCCGAGGGUAUCACUAGCCCAGUAGUCAACACUUCGGUGUUGACAUGAAUAUCAAUAAUGUGGUCAUUUUUAUGCAGUUAAUCUUGCAUUAGCGAGCACCCUAGAUUUGUGUGUUCUACCCAAAAAAUGCUGAAAUUACUUGCCAAUUGUUAUUAUCAGCUGGACUACUGAUGUUAUGAUAUAACUAAUUAACACUUUUUUAAUCAAAAAAACAUUUUUUAUUCGCUAGAUAUAAAAUAUUACCAUUAAAAAUUAAAUGUCGUCGAUUUUCCCAAAAGUUUUGAAGUGUACAUAGGGUAUAUAGUGCUCAUUAGGAAUUCUAUGUAGUUUAUUACUGGCCUGUGCUUAUUGGUAAGAUGUCAAAAACAUUGUACGAAAUAUUUAAUCGCCGAAAACUUUUUAAGACAGUAGGUUAAGACUCCAAAUGGCAUAAAAUGUCUGAGGAAUAUUGUUUGUCGUUCAAUAGUAGUACAAACACUACUCAGUAGUUCAUUAUAUAAUAAGUUCAACUGUUCGAUGCUUGUUGGCGGCCAAUUCUCUAAGAUUGAGGUAAGAGCGAAAUUCGUACUUUCAAUUAGGAGGCAGGGUUCAAAUUUAGCCGGUGUCCGAGGGUCGCGACCGUUCCCACUUUCGAAUUGUACUGCACGCCCGACGGCCUUCCAUCUGAGAACUAUAUCACAGUUGUUAUAGUAGUCUCAGUUCCAUUUGAAGAAAUAAAAAAAAGCUUUUGCAAACCUUUCGCACAAAGCUCACCCACAAUCAACGUCAAAGCUGAUACUAACAUAUAAAUAUAUAUGUCUGUGCGUAUUCUGUUAUAAAAAUAAGAACAUUUUUUAUGAUUGCCAAUGUGACAACUCUCAACCAGAGACCAAAUAUCAUAAAGGUUAACAGCUAGUGUUCACCAUUUGACUUUUGCUAAUGAGCAAACUUAGUUAACUUCUACAAAAAUAGUUAUUUGAUAAUUGUAGCCCAAAUGUCUUUAUGGUAUGCUUUAAGUAGUGUAGAGGUUUACAAUCAUUAAGUGAGAGAUCUUUCAUUAUAAAAAGUUUACCUAUUAAGAAUGAUAUAAUUGGUGCUUUAGUUGCAAUGGAGAUUAAUACUGUAGGGUCUUCAUUUCCUCUAUUUAUACAAAUUAUCACAUUGAAAACAAAAUUUGAACAUGUAUUUUAUUUUUUAAAGUGAUAUUGGUGUGUAAAGUAUGACUGUAUUUGUUAGAUUUGUUUUCCUGUUAUAUGCUGUAUACUCUUCAGCUGUGUUCCUAAAUGCACCCAUGUAGCCUUAUCAACAUCAGCAAAGAUGGACCAAUCAUAGGUAUUGUCUCAUUCUUGCAAUGAGGGGUGAUAUGUUUCUCCAAGUUGAAAUCCCUGCUAUAAAUGAGAGAUGGAAAAUAUGUGAGUUUUGUCAAGUGUAUGAAUUUUGUUUCAAAAUGUUAUACACCAAAUCAUGUCUUUUCUAAUAGAUAAUUGAUUGAUAAGACUUGAAAUCCUCUUUUUUGGUUCUCUUUGAAAAUAUUAUUGAUUACUUUUUCACACUAAAUGUAUAUGUUCUCUUAAUUUCAAAGGGAUCAUGGCAAAUCUAAUUUUCUUGAAAAUGAUAGAUAUAGCAUUUGAUAGUGAAACAAUAAUAAAGGAAAAUAUUAAUAAAUAUUGCUCGAAUUUACUUGAAAUCUAAAGAUCUAGUCAUUAGACUAGUUAUUUCUAUGUUCUAGAUAUUAUAAAUCCUUAAAAUAUUUCUCUAUUGUUGUCCUGCAGUAUUUUCUCAUUUUGUUGAUAUAUUAUGUUGUUAUCUA